GAUGAAGAACGCAGCGAAAUGCGAUAAGUAAUGUGAAUUGCAGAAUUCAGUGAAUCAUCGAAUCUUUGAACGCACAUUGCGCCCCUUGGUAUUCCGGGGGGCAUGCCUGUUCGAGCGUCAUUAUAACCCCUCAAGCUCAGCUUGGUGUUGGGGCCUGCCAACUGGCAGCCCUUAAAAUCAGUGGCGGCGCCAUCUGGCUCUAAGCGUAGUAAUUUCUCUCGCUAUAGGGUCCCGGUGGAUGCUUGCCAACAACCCCCAAUUUUCUAUGGUUGACCUCGGAUCAGGUAGGGAUACCCGCUGAACUUAAGCAUAUCAAUAGCGGAGGA
rnacentral:misc_RNA from 1 species